GAAAGAAAGAAAGAAAGAAAGAAAGAAAGAAAGAAAGAAAGAAAGAAAGAAAGAAAGAAAGAAAGAAAGAAAGAAAGAAAGAAAGAAAGAAAGAAAGGAAAGAAAGAAAGAAGUUAGAACACUACAUGCUAGGUGGCAUUUUGUGAAGGCAUGGCAGCACAAAAACAGAAACAGAUAAAACAUCUCUUCCCCUUGUGCACAUAAACUUGCCUCUGCUGUAUUCUGAGUCCUUCUAUAAUAUUGAGCUAUGAUGGAAAAACUCAAGUAUGGAAGGCAAAGAGAAAUGACUUUAUAUGCUAAUUAGCUGCUGACACAAUCUUCUUAGUAUACGGUGCCAUUAAGUAAUGGUUACAUACUGAC
rnacentral:lncRNA from 1 species